AUUGAACGCUGGCGGCAUGCCUUACACAUGCAAGUCGAACGGUAACAGGUUAAGCUGACGAGUGGCGAACGGGUGAGUAAUGUAUCGGAACGUGCCCAGUCGUGGGGGAUAACUGCUCGAAAGAGCAGCUAAUACCGCAUACGACCUGAGGGCGAAAGCGGGGGAUCGCAAGACCUCGCGCCAUUGGAGCGGCCGAUAUCAGAUUAGGUAGUUGGUGAGGUAAAGGCUCACCAAGCCGACGAUCUGUAGCUGGUCUGAGAGGACGACCAGCCACACUGGGACUGAGACACGGCCCAGACUCCUACGGGAGGCAGCAGUGGGGAAUUUUGGACAAUGGGCGCAAGCCUGACCCAGCCAUGCCGCGUGCGGGAAGAAGGCCUUCGGGUUGUAAACCGCUUUUGUCAGGGAAGAAAAGGUUCUGGCUAAUACCUGGGACUCAUGACGGUACCUGAAGAAUAAGCACCGGCUAACUACGUG
rnacentral:rRNA from 1 species